GCCGUUCUCAGUUCGGAUCGGAGUCUGCAACCCGACUCCGUGAAGCUGGAUUCGCUAGUAAUCGCGCAUCAGCCAUGGCGCGGUGAAUACGUUCCCGGGCCUUGUACACACCGCCCGUCAAGCCAUGGAAGCCGGGGGCGCUUGAAGUGCGUUGCCGCAAGGCGCGCCCUAGAGCGAAACCGGUGACUGGGGCUAAGUCGUAACAAGGUAAC
rnacentral:rRNA from 1 species